CUAGACGCGCGAAGCCGCCUGCGCCGUUAAGUGCAUCUAUAGAGUUCACUGUCCCGAUCUAAGUAAGCAAAGAAGAUGCUGGCCUUCCGUCCGACAAAUCGAUCAUCGAUUAGAAAUUGAGCCUGAAAUUUUCACUCGAUAAAAGAAACGUACGCAAAAAAUCCUCCUGAAUAAACAUCCAUUGCACUGAUUGUGAGGCCUACCGACCUGCAGAAUUCAACCAAAUAGCGCUCAGGCUUGACGGAUUCUUUUAACGGCACGUAAUUCGUCAGUACUACACAAUGGAAGUGUGGCGCACACGCCUAUCAACUUCCCCACUUUACAACAUAAGUGGAAGAACCAAAACGAUCAACAGCAGCACGGUCAACUUUUUUCGAAGGGACGACUUCAGCGCCAUUUUUAAAAUAAUAAAAAAAAAUUUCUUUUUUUUUUAAUUCCAAUUUUGUAAAAUUUAUAAGUAAUAAAACAUACCUACAAAAUUUAUGUGACAUUGUUCAUUUCUUUCAUUAAAAAAAAAAAAUUUUGAAAAGCAGUCAAAU
rnacentral:lncRNA from 1 species